UACGAAGGGGGCUAGCGUUGCUCGGAAUUACUGGGCGUAAAGCGCACGUAGGCGGACUCUUUAAGUCGGUGGUGAAAUCCUGGAGCUCAACUCCAGAACUGCCUUCGAUACUGGGAGUCUCGAGUUCGGGAGAGGUGAGUGGAACUGCGAGUGUAGAGGUGAAAUUCGUAGAUAUUCGCAAGAACACCAGUGGCGAAGGCGGCUCACUGGCCCGAUACUGACGCUGAGGUGCGAAAGCGUGGGGAGCGAACAGG
rnacentral:rRNA from 1 species